rnacentral:sRNA from 1 species
UACUUGGCUGUUUUGAAGAAGAAGAAGAAAAAAACAAUAACGACGUCAUCUCUCUAUAAUGCCGUAAGCAUACAGACCAACUUC